rnacentral:misc_RNA from 1 species
AAAGUCGUAACAAGGUUUCCGUAGGUGAACCUGCGGAAGGAUCAUUAUCGCUUGCUAACGGUUCCCCCUUUCGAGGGGGCGCCGCAGCUUGCAACCCUUGUCUAUAUCUACCUAAUGUUACUCCCUCGGCGGGGCAACCCGCCGCUGGGGACCUACUUAACCCCUAUGUAUAAGCAUGUACUCUUCUGAAAACAAACAAAUAAUCACAACUUUCAACAAUGGAUCUCUUGGUUCUG